GAUGAACGCUGGCGGCGUGCUUAACACAUGCAAGUCGAACGGAAAGGCUCCUGCUUGCAGGGGUACUCGAGUGGCGAACGGGUGAGUAACACGUGGGUGACCUGCCCUGCACUUCGGGAUAAGCCUGGGAAACUGGGUCUAAUACCGGAUAGGACGAUGUUUUGGAUGCCAUUGUGGAGAGAUUUUUCGGUGUGGGAUGAGCUCGCGGCCUAUCAGCUUGUUGGUGGGGUAAUGGCCUACCAAGGCGUCGACGGGUAGCCGGCCUGAGAGGGUGUACGGCCACAUUGGGACUGAGAUACGGCCCAGACUCCUACGGGAGGCAGCAGUGGGGAAUAUUGCACAAUGGGCGGAAGCCUGAUGCAGCGACGCCGCGUGGGGGAUGACGGCCUUCGGGUUGUAAACUCCUUUCGCUAGGGACGAAGCGCAAGUGACGGUACCUGGUGAAGAAGCACCGGCUAACUACGUG
rnacentral:rRNA from 1 species